GAUGAACGCUGGCGGCGUGCCUAAUACAUGCAAGUCGAGCGAACAGACGAGGAGCUUGCUCCUCUGACGUUAGCGGCGGACGGGUGAGUAACACGUGGAUAACCUACCUAUAAGACUGGGAUAACUUCGGGAAACCGGAGCUAAUACCGGAUAAUAUAUUGAACCGCAUGGUUCAACAGUGAAAGACGGUUUUGCUGUCACUUAUAGAUGGAUCCGCGCCGCAUUAGCUAGUUGGUAAGGUAACGGGUUACCAAGGCAACGAUGCGUAGCCGACCUGAGAGGGUGAUCGGCCACACUGGAACGGGGACACGGUCAAGACUCCUACGGGAGGCAGCAGUAGGGAAUCUUCCGCAAUGGGCGAAAGCCUGACGGAGCAACGCCGCGUGAGUGAUGAAGGUCUUCGGAUCGUAAAACUCUGUUAUUAGGGAAGAACAAAUGUGUAAGUAACUAUGCACGGCUUGACGGUACCUAAUCAGAAAGCCACGGCUAACUACGUG
rnacentral:rRNA from 1 species